CUAAGACAUGCGAGUCGAGCGUCUCUAGCUAUGUUGAGACGCGGCAGACGGCUCAGUACACGUGGCUAACCUACCCUCAGACAGUACAACCCGGGAAACUGGGGCUAAUACUCGAUAGGCGAAGGCGCCUGGAAUGGUUCUUCACCCAAAGGGCUUUAGAAACAUGCUUCUAGAGUCGCCUGGGGAUGGGGCCGCGUCCGAUCAGGUUGUUGGUGAGGUAACGGCUCACCAAGCCUAUAACCGGUACGGGCCGUGAGAGCGGUAGCCCGGAGAUGGGUACUGAGACAAGGACCCAGGCCCUACGGGGCGCAGCAGUCGCGAAAACUCCGCAAUGCACGAAAGUGUGACGGGGCUACCCCGAGUGCCGUCCGCUGAGGAUGGGCUUUCCUUGGUGUUACUAGCCGGGGGAAAUAGGAGAGGGCAANACUGGUGUCAGCCGGCCGCGGGUA
rnacentral:rRNA from 1 species